rnacentral:ncRNA from 1 species
GGGAGCGGGGGAUCCAGGGCACGACGCCCAAAACGGUCGCCUGACCGUCGUGCCUAGCGAGCGGCGAGACCGGCCCCACCGUGC